AAGGCUUGUAAACUAUUAUUUUUAUGUUGUAUUUUUAUGUUGUGUAUUAUGGCCAAAUGUUGUUUAUUUUAUUUCAUUUGGUUUCAAUAGGAAUGUGAAGUUGUGCAAUGAAAAGAAUAAUUUUGAAUAUUAAUUAUUUUUGGUUCCGGGGGGAGUAUUUCCCCUCCGGCGGGAUUUUGAGGGGAGUCGAGGCAGGGGGAAAAAAAAGAAAAAGAACAGGAAAUGUGUCCACGCUGAAAGUUGUCUCGCUGGUUCUUCAAUAAAGAAGUUUAUUUGUCAACUGUAACCUGUCUAUCCUUUACACCCACGUCACCGACUGGAAGGAGUUUGACAAGCUAACAGGAGUGUCAGGUUACAGACUGGUGGCAGCGGUGUUUUUUUUUCCUUUCUUCUCACAGUGAUCUAUCCAUUGGCAACUUCUACAACCAAGACAACGGACAACAGCUACUGCUGUAUUUCGUGGACUCUCCUGAAACUAGCUUGGUAGCUCGAGUGGUGAGUGGACAGUGUGUUUUCUCGACUUCUUCAGACCUGAUUGUGCUGCAUGAUUCUCCCUACUCAUUUUUUAAAUGUCGGAUGAGGAAAUCAAUGGAGCACAGGGCACCAAUGACCCUGCAGUUAACAUCAGCAGAAUUGUUCACCACAAGGUCGAGCUGCCACCGUGUUUUCACAGGGAUGGCAAAGACAAGGACAGUUUUUCGCUUUGGAAAGCUUGCCUCAAACUCGCCGUGAAAGCAUGUACUGAUAAUAAUCAACAUGAUCUCGCAACCAUUCUACCCACGCGUUUGAGUGGGGAUGCCUUGGCAUAUUGGCUUUCCUUGACGGAGGACGUGAAGAAGAAUUAUGACCAAUCUGUUGCCAAGUUGAAUGAUGUUUUUGGGAGGAAGCAAUUUUUGUUGCAUUUUCAAACUUUUGUUAAUGCCAGACAACGGUUGGUUAAAGAACCCCUGGAAGUUUAUGCAGCUGAAAUUACCAGACUAGUGCUGGAAGCUUUUCCAAAUUAUGGUGCACCGGCCAUUGAAAUGGAGCGGUUCAGGAGGUUUGUGGCUGGCCUGGACCCCAUACUUUAAGCUAAAUGUCAUGAACAUGGAGCAACUACGCUGGAGGAGGCAUUAGCCAUUGCUUGUAAGUGGGAGAGGGCCCAGGAGGCUUUGAAGCUGUCCGCCCCAGUGAGCCCUCAGUCACUGACUCCCCUGGUGGUUACCACAUCGACAGAGACAGUUUCAGCCAUGGUGUCAGCUAAGCAUGGUUCAUCUCAGCCCAGUGCAUCACCUGAACUCACAAGGGCCAUGCGGGAGCUGUCGGCUGAUGUGCGAUCGCUUAGGCUGGAGGUGGAUCGUCUGCAGCGAAGACAUGAUCCAGACCACAGUGCGCAUGGAGAGUGGUGGAGGCCUCCCAGACAGAGAGAGACAUAUUGGCAUUCACCGUCAUCAUCGCCAGAGCGUCACUCUACAUACAGGCCUCGGUCUCAUCCUUCAUACCAGGGAGGUGAUUAUUAUGGCCAAUACAGAUCUUCACCAGGCCGUCGGGACCGUGGCUAUUCACCUGCUUCACCAUCACCUCCAUGGCGUGCCCCUAGAUCAUCAAGCAGCAAGGACCAGUACCGUCAUCCCAGUCCUGGCUACCGGCGUAGUCCCAGCCCAUCGCCCAUUUAUCCUGGCCGGUGGGAGCACCGUCCUCCACAUACAUCAUCCACUGGGGGGAGAGAUGAGCGUUGAUCGCCUGGCCAGUCCUCCUAUGGCCCAUCAUCCAGAGAGAGACAACAUGUGAGCUUCAACGGCAGCGACACCAUUCAUCAGGGAAACACCCGCUAGCAGGGAAGCUGCCCAGAGGUCUGCUGCGGCUAAACUCCACCAGAAGCUGCAGUAUGAUAAACAUGUGGUGUUUCACCCUCAUGAGAUGGGAGACUAUGUGUUAUUAGAUGACCCGGCACAGCGAAUGAAUAAGUUGGCAGCUAGAUGGAAGGAGCCAUUUGUCAUAUUGAAAUGAUUCAAUAAGGGGGAUAGUGUUGGUGUAACAUAUGAAAUCACUGAUCCAAAGAAACCUGAAUCGAGGAAAUGGGUGGUGCACCACAACAGGCUAAAGGUAUAUAAGGGAAAGUUGACAGAUGAGUCACCUCACAACACAGAACCCUCGGAGGCAGAUGGGUUGAGGCCAGCACCUAUGCCUACUCAGUCCACUCUUACAGCAUUAUCUGGGGCUCUUCCCUAUCUGCCCACAGCUUCUUUAGACAUAGCAGCCCAGUCUCAGAGGCCAGUGCCUAUUACAGAUACAGAAGGUAGUUCUCAGGUUCAUGUUAGUUCUGACCCUUUACCUGCAUCAGUAGCACCUCCUUGUCUUCUUGAAAUGCACUGCAGUGAUGUUGAGUCCAGCCAUGUGGGUGACAUUAAUUCAUCUGUCUCACCUAGUCAGUUGCCUCUUCUAAUAACUACCCAUAGUGGCUGUCAAGUACAACCACCAGUUAAAUUCGGGUAUGAUGUUUAAUGUACCGUAUACUUACCCUUUUGUUUUGUCUGUUCGGUUUGGCAACUGAUUUUUCUCUUUCCUGAAACUGUUUUGGAUAUAUGUCAUGUAAAGUUACCCUUCUUUCUUACUCACUGUGCUUGAUCAGUGGUAUUGGUGACAUGUAUGUUAACAAAUGAUUUUGUGGACCAUAGCUCGUUAUUAGUGCCAUGUCACGAAAUGUGGACAUUUCUAUUUUUGGCAGGGGACGACUGUAAACUAUUAUUUUUAUGUUGUAUUUUUAUGUUGUGUAUUAUGGCCAAAAGUUGUUUAUUUUAUUUCAUUUGGUUUAAAUAGGAAUGUGAAGUUGUGCAAUGAAAAGAAUAAUUUUGAAUAUUAAUUAUUUUUGGUUCCGGGGGGAGUUUCCCCUCCGGCAGGAUUUUGAGGGGAGUCGAGGCAGGGGAAAAAAAAAAGAAAAUGUCAUGGUCCUACCUGUGGGCUUCUCUCUUCAGGUAACAUCUCCACUCAGCAUUACCGGCCACACCUGCACUCACUUCCUCUUAUUUACUUUCAGUGACUGUCAUUGGCUGUUGCCGAUCACCUGCUUUCCCCCUGUGUGUAUUUAUACUGCAGUUCUCCCAAGCUUCUUUGUCAGAUCGUCUGCAACUCUCAGCGUGAUAACCUGCUCUGUGUUCCUACUACACUGACUCCUGAAGAUAUUCUGUUCCGUCUGACUCUGUCUGCUCUCCAGCCCCAGUAACCUGAUCUGCCUUCUGUCCUGUCGACUCUGCCUCUUGCCUGCCUCUCCUGUACCUUCGCCUGAUCUCCAGCUCGCCCAGCCCUGCUGCUCGCCUGCCUCUCCAUCUGCCUGGUGUGAGCAGCCCUGCCUGGAGCCCUACUCUUCUGCCCUGGUAACCUGACCCUGCAUUUCUGUCCCCUUUCUUGCUACCUGAUUUGUGACUUUGUGUUCCAGCCUGCUCUCUAUCUCCUGCCUGCUGAGGGACUGCUUGCUGGGAGACUGCCUGAAACCCAAGAGCUGUCAACCUACAGCCACACCUCUUUGACUAUGCCUGAUCCUGUCUGAUCUCAGAAGCUAAGCAGGGUCAGGCCUGGCCAGUACUUGGAUGGGAGACUUCAGAUGUCACCAGCCAUCCCUGCCUCUCAGUCCUCCUGCCACUGAACUUCACACACAUACAUUUUCCCAACUGCCUUUUCCCCUGUUAUUAAUAAACUGUGGUUUGAGUGUA